rnacentral:rRNA from 1 species
AUGUGGUGGAAUAAGAUCAAAAUGAAGUCAAGGUUGAGUUUUGUAAGAGACAGAAUUGUAGAAACUUAUUUUUGGAUAAAUGGGACUAGCUACAACCUUGAAUAUUCUUAUUCCCGAAUAAUAGCUACAAAGGUCACCGCUUUCAUGACUAUAAUAGAUGACAUAUUUGACACAUAUAGCAGCACUGAAGACAGCAUGCAACUUGCAGAAGCAAUUAAUAGGUGGGAUGAAGAUGCAGUAAAUGUGCUUCCAGAAUACAUGAAGGAUAUCUACUUAUAUUUGUUGGAAACAUUUCAUUCUUUUGAGGACCAUUUAGGACCUGAGAACAGCUACCGUGUGGUUUAUCUAAAAGAAGCGUUCAAGAAAUUGGUUCAAGCAUACAGUGAUGAACUAAAAUGGCGUGAUGAAAAUUAUGUACCAAAAACACUUAAUGAACACCUUCAAGUUUCAUCAGUAAGUAUUGGAACCUCUGUGGUAGCAUGUGCUAUAUUUGUUGGCAUGGAUGACACAACAGUGGAAACUCUCAAUUGGGUGUCGAGCGACCAGAAACUUCUGAAGUCUUUUGCUAUAUAUACACGUUUCACGAAUGACAUGGCAUCAGCAAAGCGUGAGCAAGCAGGGGGGCAGUGUGCCUCUACUAUCCAAUCGUACAUGAAGGAGCAUGGGAUGACAAAUGAUGAUGCAUGUGAAAAGAUAAAAGAACUUAUCGAGAACUCAUGGAAGGAUAUGUUACACCAUUAUCUCACAUUGACAGAUCAACCAAUGGUCGUGCCCCAAAUGAUACUUAACCUUUCAAGGACUGUGGAUAACAUGUACAAGCAUACCGAUGCAUACACUAAUUCAGAUAUACUGAAAGAUACAAUAAGGAUGCUUUUUGCUGAGCCAAUGUAA